AUUCUGAUUGUAGUUGUGUUUUUAAUUUUGAUGUUAUCAUUGUUUGAUUGCAUGGUUUUAGUUGAUAGUAGUUGAGUUUGGAUUUUGAUUUUGGUUUUUUGGUUUCUAGGAAAUUAAAAAAAAAUUAAUUAAUUAAUUUAAGUAAGUCAAUUAGUUGGAUUUGCAUUUGUUAGCAAAAUUUCCUUUGUUUCUAUUUCGGGUGAUUCAGCUUUAUCUAGACAUUUCCGUAACCAAACAGGCCAGGCUGAUUGGUUGAGUGAGGGUUUCUUUCUUUUGUGAGCAAAGAGAGGGUUUCUCAAAGUUACCAAUAGCAAUUUUGUCGUAAAUAUUCUUAAAGCUCUCCUAUUGAAUAGAAGAAUUGGGGGAAGAGGGGGGAAGAGGUCAUGGUCUUUAACAGAGAUGAAUUGGCUAUAUUUAUGCUAAUCUCUUGUAAAUUCCUCCAAAUCAAAGAGAUUUUUUUAAUCUGUAUCAUCAAUUAAUUGGCUAUAUUUAUGGACUGUUUUAGGGUUAGUUAUCUGUAGGAUUGAAAGACUGAAAGAUACAAGGAAAUUCUCAAAUCUGGAACUGUAAGUAGGAAUUUAUUUGUUCUUCAUUUAUGAUUACUUGUUAGUUCAUCUAUGUGGGUGAUUAUUCUGGAUGAAUGAUUUCCAAGAAAAUGGAUUUGCAUUGUUAAUGGGCAAGUGGAGCCCAGACCUGGAGUUUUGAGAUCGAUGGAUGAGGCCAAGGCUGCUGUAAGAUAGACAUUUUACCUUAUAAAUGCAAUCGUCACUUUGUCAUGGCUCUUAAGUUUUUCAUUGUAUUUGCAUCUGUUAUCCACAGUUAAUUAGGUAAGACUACUUUUCUUCCAAAGUUUAGUCAAAUUCCACGUUCCCUUUCUUACAUGAAGAAUCAUAUUUGAAUUAACCUUUUUGGCUGACAAUUAUAGGGUAAAAAAUUAGCAGUCUGCUCUGCUGCAAUUAAAAAAGUUCUUUUUCAAUCCUUAAUCCUUUUUUUUUUUGCCUAUCAAAUUUAAAUUUGAUGAAAAAUUGCUCAAAAUCCAUCUCCAACCUUUUCAUAAAAUGCUUAUCAAAUCGAGGGAAAAACACUUUUUUUCUUCACAUUGAGUGAAGCAUUACCAAAUUUCAUCAACAACAUGAGCACUAGGCAAGCAAAAUUCUCCUGAACCAGGUGCUAGUGGCAGAAAUAAGGUCAAGAGACAUGUGCAUAUAUUUAGUUCUUAUAAGAAGGUAAAGCUCUUACAACAAGUGAAUAAACAUGUAUCAAGGUAGGCUGAUGUACACCAUAACUCAUGACAAUGCUAAAUUCGGUAGGUUUAUGAUUUGUUUGACUAGAGUGUUCACAGAUAUUUCAAUGUACGGUAUUUUGUUUGAGUUUUUUAUUUUCUGAAAUGUUUAGUUCAUAUAAGAAGGUAAAGUUCUUGUAAGUGAAUAAACAUGUAUCAAGGUAGGCUGAUGUACACCAUAAAUUUGAGUAUUUACAUAUAUUUCAAAUGUGUCGUAUGUGACUUGAGCUUUUAAUUUUCUGAAAGUCGAGCGUUCAUGCUACAUCAGUUCUAGGUGCUUUAACUUUCUAAUAAUUUAAUCUCAUUAUGCGAGUGUAUAAUCUAGGUGUCUAUAUUUAUAUGCAUGUGGGUUAGUGUCAUUGCCUAUUUAAUUUGGGCAGUGAUAUGACCCUUCAUAGUUCAUGGGGAUGCUCUGAACUUAUAGAUUCUUUAGCUAAAGCUUAUUUGUGGUUUUCAUUUUUCUCUUCCUUUUUGAUUUCAGUAAUAUGUGUUUGUCAUGUGUUUUGGUUUUUGCAACUAACUUCUGCAGCUUGUUGGGUUGUGCGCUGCUAUCUGUUACAUGGUAAUUUGGGUUGGAUACGCAGACGUGCACUUAAUCUUUGGUGUUUCUAUGACUUGAGAGCAUGUGUGGCUCUGCAGGGAGAGCUGAAUAAUCAGCUGAAGCAGUAGUUCUGGAAGAUCUAGGAGAAACAAAAUGCCAAGAAGGAAAUUGAAUAGCUUGAGUUGAAGUCUUGUUUUUACAAGCAUCAGUUCGCCAACAGCAUUCACUAGCAUACCUAAUAAACCAGGUAUCUGAUGGCUUAAACACACUAACCAACAAUUAGCAGCAUGCAUGGAAGCUGCCUAUAAUUAUAAUAUAUCUUUGCAUUAUUAGCCAAGCAAGUUGACUCAAAUCUUGUUGACCUUUGAUCCAUUUUGCUUUGUUGUCACUUCUUUUAGGUCUCCAAUUCUAGGUGGCUUUUUGAAUGCAAAUAUAGUUUAUUAGAAGACCUUUACAAAGUGCUUGCCUACUACUAAAUGUUUGUGACUUUACUGUGUGUAUAUAUAUAUACACAUAUAAAUUUUCCUAUGUAUAUGGUGAUCUCAUGUGCUCUGUCUUCAUGUUGAUUCCUUUUCA